AUUGAACGCUGGCGGCAUGCCUUACACAUGCAAGUCGAACGGUAACGGGCCUUCGGGUGCCGACGAGUGGCGAACGGGUGAGUAAUGUAUCGGAACGUACCUUUCAGUGGGGGAUAACGUAGCGAAAGUUACGCUAAUACCGCAUAUUCUGUGAGCAGGAAAGCAGGGGAUCGCAAGACCUUGCGCUGAUUGAGCGGCCGAUAUCAGAUUAGCUAGUUGGUGAGGUAAAGGCUCACCAAGGCGACGACCUGUAGCGGGUCUGAGAGGAUGAUCCGCCACACUGGAAGUGAGACACGGUCCAGACUCCUACGGGAGGCAGCAGUGGGGAAUUUUGGACAAUGGGGGCAACCCUGAUCCAGCCAUGCCGCGUGAGUGAAGAAGGCCUUCGGGUUGUAAAGCUCUUUCGGCCGGGAAGAAAUCGUAUCAGCUAAUACCUGGUGCGGAUGACGGUACCGGCAUAAGAAGCACCGGCUAACUACGUGCCAGCCGCCGCGGUAAGAC
rnacentral:rRNA from 1 species